UGGAACCAGUCUUGACAAAUGUCACACUCGAUCAUGAAGCGUGUCACAUCGUAUGGCAGGCGACACAAGCAGUACACUGGCACUGAUGCCAUGUCGAGUGUGUGUGUGUGAGAACCAACAAUCAAUUAUUAUUUCUGAGGAUUUCAAAUUUGGGAGUAGCGGCUGUUUAACAAUUUAAAGACUUAAUUCAUAAUGAAUGGUACUGUUGCUGUAGAUCUGAACUAUAAGCCGGACACUUCAGCUCCAGAUUCCUGAUUUAACUACACAUGUCCACCAGGAUUCACCGGGAAACCUGUUGAAAUAUAGGAACAAAACGAAACUUACACACACAUAACAAUGAAGCGACUGCAUCUGAAAGUUAAUUAAUACAUACGGUGAACAAUGAGGAAGACUUCACAAAGCAAACUGCUUAACCAGCUCAAUUUAUAAAGUACAACGACUAAUUCUGCAAACUGAAGUUCAGUAAACAAGCUGGCCGAGUAUGUUGGCCAGAGCCAGAGGUUCACACUGGAGCAGGAAACCACCACCUGAAGCGACCUACACGAGCUCAACAACGACAAGUAACGGCGCUAUUUGACUGCACCGACGCCAUUUCAAAGGCUGCAGCGUCAGAACCGUUGUUCGUCGCUGUCCGCUGUUGAAAAAACAAUAAAGUUUCAGCGAGUCAACUAUGGAGCUGCGAUCAGGACAAGCCGCUGCUGCUGAGGGGAAAUCCUGACACAGAGUGAGGCUCAACUCUGACUUUCUACAGACUGACUCGUCUAAUUAGAAGAUGAGUCUGGCCUGGUAUUUUUUAUUAUUAUUUAAAAAAAUUCUAAACAAAUAUUUUUUUUUAAUGUAAAACCAAAAUAAUUGUUUUGGAUUGAAAUGUUUUUCUCCAGGAAAGCUGGACAGCAAUCAGGCUGUAAUUGUCAUGUUUAGAGUGCUUCGAUAAAAGAGAACUUUAAAUUAGGUUGUUUUAUAAUAUGUCAUUUUGUUGCAUCAAAUAAAUUGGACCAUCUCAACUGAAUUGUCUUUAUAAUAUUACAAACUGUAAGGAUAUUGGUUAAAAUGAAUAAAGAUUUUAAACUAACAACACUAUUGAUGUUAAUUCAUAAGUACUGCUUUUUUCCAUCCUUCAGCUUAUAAAUUGCUUUCUGUUUCUUCCAGCAUUGUACAUGUCUUUUACUGGAUUUUUCAGUGUGAUGUUAUUGUUACUUCCCCUUGCAAUUUGCUUUCCUUUAAUUGCUUAUGUAAUUGGAACUUGGGUUGAAUACAUUGUUUUUCAGUGCAACAAGGUUUUUGUUGUGAAUAAUGUAUACACGCAUACCUAAAUUCAGCUGUAAAAUGUACAGAGUAACCAAUAUUUGCAAAUGUAUAAAUUAUUUAAUCACAAAUAAUCUGAUUUUAUCUUUUAAAACCAACAUUUAUAUAAUUGGAUAUAUGUGUCUUUUACUACGAAUGUACUUGAUGUGAAAUUAAGGCAUAAUGAAAAUACAAUUUGAUGUUUGACAUCAUUUAUUUUGAUUAGUUACAAAACAUAAAUAAAAUCAACAGUUGAAUUAGUUACAAUUUACAGAGGCUAAAUCACCAGAAACUUACUUUAUUUUCUAGGUCUCCUUGCCCAAAAAUGUUUUAGUCAUGCUAUUUGGGACUCCCCAGGUGUUUGUUGCAUUAAUUUGGAGUUUAUUUUAUAUAUAACCUAAAUCCCAGUAGCUCGUGUCAUUCUGCUGUUUAUCAUCCAGGUUUUCAUGUUCAAAACUGACAUAAGAAGUUAAAAAUGGGCCAAAAUUCUCUGAAUAUGACCUUAAAUGACCCUGGCCUGUCAGAGAGGUAUAUCAAAGUAAGGGGAGUCCCAUGUAAAAAGCAAUGAAAACCAGUGUUUUCUACAGUUUUACAAUUUGUACAACCCCAGUUCAAAAUACAAAAAUAAUCUUUAUCUUUUAGAUAACAUUUUGGUAACACUUCAAGGACAAAGCCAGCUCCACAUCAUAAGUCAUGAUCGUUGAGCUGUAUCUUGCAGUCAACAUGUUAGUAUCAGACAUGACAGCACAGUAUCUCACCUUCACUAAUAAUGGACUA